rnacentral:rRNA from 1 species
GAUGAACGCUGGCGGCGUGCCUAACACAUGCAAGUCGAACGGGGUCAUUAAGGAAAAAUCCUUCGGGAUUCGGAAUUCUUGACCUAGUGGCGGACGGGUGAGUAACGCGUGAGCAAUCUGCCUUUGGAUGGGGGAUAACAGCCGGAAACGACUGCUAAUACCGCAUAAUGCAGCGGGGUCGCAUGAUUUUGCUGCCAAAGAUUUAUCGUCCAAAGAUGAGCUCGCGUCUGAUUAGCCAGUUGGCGGGGUAACGGCCCACCAAAGCGACGAUCAGUAGCCGGACUGAGAGGUUGAACGGCCACAUUGGGACUGAGACACGGCCCAG